UACCAGUUGUAAGUUUCUUCGACUGCAUGCUGGAGCUAUGCACCUAAGGGCCGUCACACAUCCCUGCAGGAUGGCAACCUCAUUUACAAAGGUGAAAUCCUUCCCUGCAGACCAGAAAUGGAAGCUGCAGAACUCCUGGGCCUGGCUGCAGACUCCUGGUCUCUGCUGCACCUCUCUCAGCAGGCCUGGGUUGCUAUGGCACCGUAAACAACACGCGAUGAGUUGAGCUGGUGCAUGUUCUGCUACUGCUGAUGUGGAGCUCCCUGAAGCAGGCUCACAUAACGGAAGUUCCCUCAGAGGUUCCACUGUCCAGAACAGUACAGAUUGGUGCUUGGUGUAAACGCCACUGGGAUCAGUAUGGCAUUGAUCACAGUGAAGUCAUGAACAUUUCCAUAAUUAACAGCAUACAAAACUAACAGUACCAUUAAGAGAAAUGCAGAUAGGCAUCCAGAUGGAUCUCCAAUGGCAGCUAUGAACCAAUUCUCAUUGACUUCAAUGGAAACUUCCCAUCUCAGAUGCACAUGGACACUU
rnacentral:lncRNA from 1 species